rnacentral:lncRNA from 1 species
GCACUCUCAAACAUACCGUUGUUUUUGCGUAAAUUUUAGUUUUCUUUUUAAAAUUUUCAAGUUAUAUGUUAUUACCUGAAUAUGUGAAAUAUUUUCUUCAACUUGAUGAUCUUUUCAACACUAUUAAAGCAUCAGCAUAUGUUUUCCACUUUUUUAAAAAGAUGACACAAGCGAUUUUAUUGACAAAUGGACUAAAACAAAUACGUUUAUAUCAAGCUUUUGGACAGCAUGAUUGCAACAGUAGUACAUAUUUAUUUCAGUAGAAGCGAAUCUGGUGAAGGAGAUGGUCUUUACUGCAUAUGAUUGAAUAUUUGUAGCUCUCAGCAUCUCUCUUCAGGAUUAUGUCUCUAUCUCUUUUCCGCUAAUACAGGUUUGAAUUUGGUGGCCACAAUAUAUAUAUAUAUAUAUAUAUAUUUUGUGUGUGUUUGAGUCCUUUCUUUAAUUCCACCAAUUACAGGAAAAAACAUGUCAAUUCAAGCCCAAAAAAAAAAGAAAAAAAAAAAGAAAAAGAUUCUCUUCUUUCAAGUUAUAUCUAGGCAAUCUGAUAGAGAAAUCUCCAUCAACAAAAGAUGUCUCUCAGCAUUGUUUCGACAAAGUAGCAACAUUCUUGACCAUAUUAUGGGAUUAAAAUCUAAAGUGUAUAUAGUGGAAGACUUGGAUAAUAUUCCAUUUAUUUUAUGGACCAAAUUGAAAAAGGAUAGGCUGGCAGGUGGUUUUGCGUAAUUUGAAGCAAAUAUUCUUAAGAAAAUAAGCACAUAUCUAUCUACAAGAAUGAAUAUCUCCAUUCAAGCCCACAUAAUUGGAAGACUUAAAGUAGCAAUUGCCUGUUUUCCUGCAUGUGUCCCAGCUACCUAGCUACCUAGCUAUAGCCUAUAGCUAGCCUAUAGGGUUAAUAUGGGAAAUAUCAUCCUGUUUUUUUAUAGUCGACCUAAUGCAAAAUAACAAAAAGAGGAAACAUUCUGAAUCUUUUCCAACGACUUAGAGCAAAGGGAAAAUUAGAUAAGUGCCCUACAUAUCUAGACAGACUGUUGAGUGAAAGGCAUAUCUAAGAUUUUGAAAAGAACCCAUUCACCUAUUUUUGCUUUAAUUGUUCUACAUGUUCUAUAUUUUCUUGUUUCACUUUCCACCAUUCCACACACAUAUUCUCUUCAAAUAAAGUUGAAAAUGAUUUAUAGGGGAGAAAUGGUCCCACAAAACUUUUGAGCAUCCAAUAAUCAAACUUGAAUAUGGUGCCUUUGUCAAGGUGGUCAAUGUACAUAUUCCAAAACAAUGGAGGUUUCCCACCUAAUAGGAGCACUCAUCGAUUAAUGUAUUUGGUAUAUAUCAACUCAACCGAAUUUAUUUUGUUCUUAGGAGCCUUCCUUCCUAUUAUUAAAAAAAAAAAAAAAAAAACAAAGCCCACAUGAAAAAUGGGGUCCAGUCCAGUAAAAAACGGCCUUGACUUGUAGAUUAAAGGUCUCAAGUUUGAACUCCCAUGACAUCUUGGCUGUUUGUCUGUGAGAAACCCCCUUUCUAUAAUUUAGACUAUCGCUUAUACUAAAAAAAAAAAAUUCAUUUUAGCUAUAAGUAUCCUUCUCUACAUUUUGUCUUGCACAUUAAUAAAAUUUUAAUUACCUUUUAUUCUUGUAAUGAGGAGCUCAGUCAGACGUGUUAAUCUAGAUAGUUAUAUAACCAAAUACACAUAUCUGCAAUGGCAGAUCUAAGAAUUUUCUUUCUUAGAGGCAAGAAAACAUUACUAGUAAUGAGAAGAGAAUAAUGAGAAGAGUGAAUCCAGCAAACAAAAAGAAUAACAUAAAUAGAGGGUUAGAGGUUGCCCCUCCUGCCUUGCCUCAGUCUUCUUUGAGUUUGCCUCCAUCGAACAAAAAAUUUCAUGGAAACUUGGCACAUUUGAUAGGUAACAACAUUAUUGAGUGAAGGCAGCCUUCACUCAACCCUUAACGGAUAUGCCAGUGCAUACUUGGAUCAGCCAUUUGAAUCGAAGUAGCUAUAAAAGCUCUUCUCCCUUG